GUGUUGAUUCUAUAACAGAGUUAAACUUUUCUUUUGAUUCACCAGGUUGGAAACUCUCUUUUUGCAGAAUCUGUGAAAAGACAUUUAGGAGCCGAUUGAGGCCUAUGGUGCAAAACCAAAUAUCACCCCCCUAAAAACUAGUAAGAAGCUAUUUUUAAAACUGCUUUGUGGUGUGUGGAUUCAUCUCACCUUUUUGCAGAAUUGGUGAAGAAACAUUUGGGAGCCCAUUGUGGCCUAUGGAGAAAAGCUGAAUAUCAGUUUGGAAACACAGUUUUUCUCCAUUUUGUGAAUGGACAUUGGGAGCUCAUUGAGGGCAAAAGUGAAAAAGUGAAUAAACCAGGUUAAAAAUGAGAAGAACAGCUAUGGGAAGACACUCAAACCAAAGACAAAGAAGUUGAAAACUUUCAAAAAAAUUUAGAAGAAUGUAUAACUAGAAUAACCAAUACAGAGAAGUGCUUAAAAGAGCUGAUGGAGCUGAAAACCAAGGCUUGAGAACUACGUGAAGAAUGCAGAAGACUC
rnacentral:lncRNA from 10 species